AAACUCAAAUGAAUUGACGGGGCCGCACAAGCGGUGGAGUAUGUGGUUUAAUUCGAUGCAACGCGAAAACCUUACCUGCCCUUGACAUCCUCGGAACUUGUCAGAGAUGACUUGGUGCCUUCGGAACCGAGAGACAGGUGGUGCAUGGUUGUCGUCAGCUCGUGUCGUGAGAUGUUGGGUUAAGUCCCGCAACGAGCGCAACCCUUGUCCUUAGUUGCCAGCAUUAAGUUGGGCACUCUAAGGAGACUGCCGGUGUUAAACCGGAGGAAGGUGGGGAUGACGUCAAGUCCUCAUGGCCCUUAUGUCCAGGGCUACACACGUGCUACAAUGGCCGGUACAAAGGGCUGCAAUACCGCAAGGUGGAGCGAACCCCAAAAAGCCGGUCUCAGUUCGGAUUGGAGUCUGCAACUCGACUCCAUGAAGUUGGAAUCGCUAGUAAUCGCGGAUCAGCAUGCCGCGGUGAAUACGUUCCCGGGCCUU
rnacentral:rRNA from 1 species